UACGUAGGGUGCAAGCGUUGUCCGGAAUUAUUGGGCGUAAAGAGCUCGUAGGCGGUCUGUCACGUCGGCUGUGAAAUCCCGAGGCUCAACCUCGGGUCUGCAGUCGAUACGGGCAAACUAGAGUAUUGCAGGGGCGAGUGGAAUUCCUGGUGUAGCGGUGAAAUGCGCAGAUAUCAGGAGGAACACCGAUGGCGAAAGCGGCGCACUGGACCGGUACUGACGCUGAGUGACGCGAAGCGUGGGGAGCAAACGGG
rnacentral:rRNA from 1 species